GUUAAGGUAUUAAGGGUGUACGGUGGAUGCCUUGGCAUCAGGAGACGAUGAAGGGCGUGGCAAGCUGCGAUAAGCCUCGGUAAGCCGCAAGCAGGCUGUGAUCCGGGGAUUCCCGAAUGGGGCAACCCAGACGAUUAAUGCCGUCUAUUCUCCGCUGAAUACAUAGGUGGAAGAAUGUAAACGCAGGGAAGUGAAACAUCUCAGUACCUGCAGGAGUAGAAAUCAAACGAGAUUCCCUGAGUAGUGGCGAGCGAAACGGGAAUAGCUCAAACCUUGUAUAUGUCAAGCCCGUAAGCGUUGUAUGCAAGGGGUUGUAGGACUUCAUUUGACGACAUUGCGGUGCCGUCGACGAGUCAAAAACCAAAUUCUUAGUAGAAUGGCUUGGAAAAGCCAGCCAAAGAAGGUGAAAGCCCUGUAAACGAAAAGAAUUUGGCUCGUUGGAUGAGGAACCUGAGUACCACGGGGCCCGUGAAACCUUGUGGGAAGCCGGGAGGACCACCUUCCAAAGCUAAAUACUC
rnacentral:rRNA from 1 species